AAAACUUUCAACAACGGAUCUCUUGGUUCUGGCAUCGAUGAAGAACGCAGCGAAAUGCGAUAAGUAAUGUGAAUUGCAGAAUUCAGUGAAUCAUCGAAUCUUUGAACGCACAUUGCGCCCGCCAGCAUCCUGGCGGGCAUGCCUAUUCGAGCGUCAUUU
rnacentral:rRNA from 1 species